GAUACACUCAUGACGACAGCAAAGCGGUCCUCAGCAGUUGCAGGCAUCUUCUGACAGGCUGAGCGUAUGUCCUGGAUGGUCGUAUGCAGGUCGUUGAGAUCUGACGUUAUAGUCCUCUGGUUUACUAUAAACAGAUGAUCAGACAUUUCAGACACAUGAUGUUAAGAUACAGAAGAGACACAUCAAAGGAAAGAAUCUACCUUUGGCUGCAAGAGGAACCAUGGUUAAAUCUUUGGAGAAAUCCAACACCUCAGGAAAGUGUUGACAUAACGAUUUAACCAGAAUAUGAAGAAAUGUCGACUUCCCAUCCACUGUUUUAGUUGUGCUCAACUGCAGAGGACACAAGGACGUUAUUAACUGCUGGCUGUUAUUCAGGUAGUUCCCCAUCGCCAGCACAAACUGAAGGAAGAC